rnacentral:rRNA from 1 species
UGGGGAAUAUUGCACAAUGGGCGCAAGCCUGAUGCAGCGACGCCGCGUGCGGGAUGGAGGCCUUCGGGUUGUAAACCGCUUUUGUUCAAGGGCAAGGCACGGCUUCGGGCCGUGUUGAGUGGAUUGUUCGAAUAAGCACCGGCUAACUACGUGCCAGCAGCCGCGGUAAUACGUAGGGUGCGAGCGUUAUCCGGAUUUAUUGGGCGUAAAGGGCUCGUAGGCGGUUCGUCGCGUCCGGUGUGAAAGUCCAUCGCCUAACGGUGGAUCUGCGCCGGGUACGGGCGGGCUGGAGUGCGGUAGGGGAGACUGGAAUUCCCGGUGUAACGGUGGAAUGUGUAGAUAUCGGGAAGAACACCAAUGGCGAAGGCAGGUCUCUGGGCCGUCACUGACGCUGAGGAGCGAAAGCGUGGGGAGCGAACAG